rnacentral:tRNA from 1 species
CUUGGCCGAGUGUUUAAGGCAUUAGCCUGCUCAGUCAAUGGGGCAACCCGCGUGAGUUCGAAUCUCACAG